rnacentral:rRNA from 1 species
UACGGAGGGUGCAAGCGUUGUCCGGAAUCAUUGGGCGUAAAGAGUUCGUAGGUGGUAUGUUAAGUCUGGUGUUAAAUCCCGAAGCUCAACUUCGGUCCGGCACUGGAUACUGGCAAACUUGAAUGUGGUAGAGGUAAAGGGAAUUCCUGGUGUAGCGGUGAAAUGCGUAGAUAUCAGGAGGAACAUCGGUGGCGAAAGCGCUUUACUGGGCCAUUAUUGACACUGAGGAACGAAAGCCGGGGUAGCAAAUGGG